GACGAACGCUGGCGGCGUGCUUAACACAUGCAAGUCGAACGGAAAGGCCCUGCUUUUGUGGGGUGCUCGAGUGGCGAACGGGUGAGUAACACGUGAGUAACCUGCCCUUGACUUUGGGAUAACUUCAGGAAACUGGGGCUAAUACCGGAUAGGAGCUCCUGCUGCAUGGUGGGGGUUGGAAAGUUUCGGCGGUUGGGGAUGGACUCGCGGCUUAUCAGCUUGUUGGUGGGGUAGUGGCUUACCAAGGCUUUGACGGGUAGCCGGCCUGAGAGGGUGACCGGGCACAGAGGGAGAGGGGUGCGAGCAGGACGGAUGCGGGAGGAAGGAGUGGAGAAUUGAGCACGAUAGGCGGAGGGAGGGAGGAACGUCGCCGGGUGCGAAAUGACUGCCUUCGGGUAGUAAAACGAGUUCGCCUGUGACGAAGCGUGAGGAACGGAAAUAAUUAAAGAGGAACGGACAAACUAGUU
rnacentral:rRNA from 1 species